rnacentral:lncRNA from 1 species
AGUCCAAUGGAUCAAGCCAUUUUCUAGGUUCUAGUGGUGCAAAUGGGCGGCGCUUGGAAUCGUGGAGCCCUGGCGAGGUGAGUCUUUCUGAAGCAACGAUCGUUGAGAUGUGACAACGCAUUUGAGCUGUCAUUUGAGCUGUUGAGAUGAAAAAAAUAAGUUCAAAUCAAUUCGCUUGAUAUCAAUAUUGUAUAUUGCACAUUAUCAAUUUCACGGGAUUAUACGAUAGAUCUUUUGAUUUUAAAAUUUGCCGAAAGAACUUGCAGGGUAGUAGCCUGUGGGAAGCUCAAUAUGCAAUGUCAGAGGAUGGAUCCCCCACGUACCUCGAUGAUGACCUUAGAAUCAUGGAGUCGAGCAACGCUGACAUGCUUGACGAAGGACCUAUGGUGUGCAGCGGUUUAGACCAUGCCGAUUCACAGGGCCUUAACAGAACCAAUCUUAGACUAAGGUGGGGACAUCUAAAACUUGGUCAGAAGAUGUUCGCAGCUUCCUUUAGAACCUGAAGGUUUCUUUUAUCUGCAUUCUCCGUUUUGUUAAGAAUUUCACUCUUGUACUUUAGUUUAUUUACAACUUUUUUGUCAUGCAUGGGAAUUAGAGCUUGUAUGCUGCUGUCUCUUUGCACUCUGCCUCUGAAGAUGUUUGCAGAAAUCGGGGUGCAGUUUUGACGCUUGCAAGUUUAUUUUUAUAUUUAUUAUAUUUUUCGCAACAAGCUCACUCCGCUUGUUUGGUUUAGAGUUUAUCAUCAAUGUUAGUUUUGGUUGGUGAAACAGAUUCUUAAUAAAUUGGCUAAUCAACGCCCUUCUUAGACUACGACACCCGACGCAGGAGACGAACCUGGUGCACAUUUACGGACCGCAAGUGCGCUUCGACCGAGGUCAAGCGUUGGCAUUCAAUCUAUUGGACUUGAAUGGCAUAGCCAUCAGAGCAGAGCUUGUGCAGAGAUUGGCUGAUAAAAACAACAUCUCGUUGGGUCUCGGCACACUUUGCAACAUUGUCUAUCCCGAAGGCUCGACAGAUCAUGCUGUACGCCACUUUAUCCCCUUCUUAUAAUCCUCAAAAUAACAUCCAAGUAAUGUCACAUUUUUAUGAUAACAUUCCUGAAAAAUGUAUUAAUUUUGUUUGCAAUCGGUCCUUUUAAACGCAAAAGAAACUAACGCAAAUAACUUCACUCAAUAUUCACACAAGGACUUUGGUAACUCAGACAGUCAACGUAUCUGUGUUGAUUCACGGACAGUGUGAACUUACAAAAAGGCAUAAUACGCAGACACAGUUUGUUGGCC